GCAAUGGUGGUUCAGUGGUAGAAUUCUCACCUUCCAUGUCGGAGACCUGGGCUCGAUUCCUGGCCAAUGCA
rfam:Loxodonta africana unplaced genomic scaffold scaffold_4, whole genome shotgun sequence.